rnacentral:rRNA from 1 species
AGUGAACGCUGGCGGUAGGCCUAACACAUGCAAGUCGAACGGCAGCACAGUAAGAGCUUGCUCUUACGGGUGGCGAGUGGCGGACGGGUGAGGAAUACAUCGGAAUCUACUUUUUCGUGGGGGAUAACGUAGGGAAACUUACGCUAAUACCGCAUACGACCUACGGGUGAAAGCAGGGGAUCUUCGGACCUUGCGCGAUUGAAUGAGCCGAUGUCGGAUUAGCUAGUUGGCGGGAUAAAGCCCCACCAAGGCGACGAUCCGUAGCUGGUCUGAGGAUGAUCAGCACAACUGGAACUGAGACACGGUCCAGGCUCCUACGGGAGGCAGCAGUGGGGAAUAUUGGACAAUGGGCGCAAGCCUGAUCCAGCCAUACCGCGUGGGUGAAGAAGGCCUUCGGGUUGUAAAGCCCUUUUGUUGGGAAAGAAAAGCAGCAGGUUAAUACCCCGCUGUUCUGACGGUACCCAAAGAAUAGCACCGGCUAACUUCGUG